rnacentral:lncRNA from 1 species
AGACGCUCCAGCCGGCCGCUCUGGUGUGGGGAGGGAGCGUCAUCUCAAGGACACUGAAAAAGCUGUUUGCCGUUUUGCCGUUUGCCGUUUUGCUGUUUGCCUCCUUGUCACGACCUCAGCGACGGCAGAUGGAGCCAGUGGAGGGAGAGAGACAGACGGCAAUGCUUGGGUAGCCAGGGUUCCCUGCCGGCCCCACUCCUCCUGCAGACACGAGCACACACACACACACACGCGCGCGCAAAACACACACGCUGCCCUUCGCCACACGUAGCCAAGUAAAAUACACAAAAAGCAACUGAGAUACCAUUCGCACAUGACCACAUGGAAACACACAAAUGAACAAACACAUUCAGGCAUAGCCACAUGCCAGUCACACAGAUGGAUAGACAAGAGCCUGGGCUACAAAGCCACAUGGCACAAAGCCACCUGGAUGUAUAUGCCCCUACACACGCACACAGAAAAAAACAUGCAAACUUAAGUACACACCUAUCCAGACAACUGUGAGUGCGCACACACACACACACACACACUCUACCUGACACGUUAGUGCAUCCCCAUUGGGCCCCAGUUUCUCUCAGCAAAUUGAGAUCACCCAGCCUG